rnacentral:rRNA from 1 species
AAUUUUUGACAAUGGGGGCAACCCUGAUCCAGCCAGCCCGCGUGUGCGAUGAAGGNCUNNGGGAUNUNAAUCACGUUUGUCAGNNNNNAAAAGGUUCUGGCUAAGAUCUGGAACAGCUGACGGUACCUGCAGAAUAUGCACAGCCUACCUACGUGCCAUCAGCCGCGGUAAUACGUAGGGUGCAAGCGUUAAUCGGAAUUACUGGGCGUAAUGCGUGCGCAGGCGGUUCGGCAAGAAGGAUGUGAAAUCCCGGGGCAUAACCUCGGAACUGCAUUCUUAACUGCCGGGCUAGAGUAUGUCAGAGGGGGGUAGAAUUCCACGUGUAGCAGUGAAAUGCGUAGAGAUGUGGAGGAAUACCGAUGGCGAAGGCAGCCCCCUGGGAUGAUACUGACGCUCAUGCACGAAAGCGUGGGGAGCAAACA